AUGUAAAUAGCAUGAGUGCAUCUGUCGGGCCGAGGAGAGAAAAAUCCACAGGAUUAUGAUAUUGCAUUAUCUCCGGACAUCAAUGGCUUUUUAUAAAGUCUCUGAAAGCUUUGCUAUUGACUGAGCGAAGAACACGAUUAUAACAAAAGGAUGCCGUGCACUGUGCUUGUUUGUUCCUCCCCGGGAACAUUGAAGAUUGCUUUGCUAUUUUGCUCAAACUGCAUUUGGCCAGUCCUGACACUUAAACCAAGCUGUGUACAUCGACGAAGCUGCGCCUUGACAUAUUGUCGGACAUCGGCGGUGCCAGUUCUGACAAUUGCUUAGGAGUCUGUGGUGAUGCCAUUCUUUCUUUCAAAGGACCUGUGGAUUCAAAGACCCCCCCAUGAAAUCACCAUAUGAAAUGUACAAUAAAUGAACAAUGUAUUUAUCCACUCCCAAGGCUGAGCCAAACAUCUGCUUCAGUUCCAGAGGCUGCUGGAGGAGAUCCCUCAGGCUGGAUUCGCCAACAGCCCUAAGAAAUGCCACUUCAGACUGCUUGAAGAGUGUUACCUAGACUUCUAGAUCAACUGUGGACUGAUAAAACCUUCAAAAGCAGAUAGAAGCUGAGCAGUUUUAUACUUCCUGGCCUGCGAGUAUGAAAUAUGUAUGCUGUUUCCAAGGGUAGGCAGGUUUCCUUCAAUGCCUCAUGCCUAUAGUUUUUCUAGUAUAUUAUCUCUCCUCUCAAGUGUGACCAGUAAUGGACAGCAAGAAAAAAAAAUACUAUGAACGUCUAAGGUAGGGCUAGCUUUUAGGUUCCUAAAAAACCUUUCAACUGGUUUUACAUGCUACAAGCUUUAAUCUACCCUUCACUCUCCAUGUUCAUGCCAAGCUGCUUUCCAUGAAGAUGAUGCAAUUCACUGUCUGACACCAGCACUGUACUGUAAAUGUCUUUGACAUCACUUUAACCAAUUUUUUUUUGACACAUGAACAGACAGUCUUCAUCCUAAUGCACAACACAUGCCUUUAAAAUUCUCUCUCAGCUUUAUCAAAUACCAGUGCACCCUAAAAAUUAUUCUCAUGUUUAGUUCUUGCUAGUGCUUCAAAAUG